GCUGGGUGCGGUGGAGUACACCUGUAAUCCCAGUGGCUCUGGAGGCUGAGGCAGGAAGAUUGUGAGUUUAAAGCCAGCUUCAGCAACUUAUUGAGGCCCUAAGGAACUCAGUGGGACCCUGUCUCUA
rnacentral:sRNA from 1 species